rnacentral:rRNA from 1 species
GGUUAAGCGACUAAGCGUACACGGUGGAUGCCCUGGCAGUCAGAGGCGAUGAAGGACGUGCUAAUCUGCGAUAAGCGUCGGUGAGGUGAUAUGAACCGUUAUAACCGGCGAUUUCCGAAUGGGGAAACCCAGUGUGUUUCGACACACUAUCAUUAACUGAAUCCAUAGGUUAAUGAGGCGAACCGGGGGAACUGAAACAUCUAAGUACCCCGAGGAAAAGAAAUCAACCGAGAUUCCCCCAGUAGCGGCGAGCGAACGGGGAGGAGCCCAGAGCCUGAAUCAGUGUGUGUGUUAGUGGAAGCGUCUGGAAAGGCACGCGAUACAGGGUGACAGCCCCGUACACAAAAAUGCACAUAUUGUGAGCUCGAUGAGUAGGGCGGGACACGUGGUAUCCUGUCUGAAUAUGGGGGGACCAUCCUCCAAGGCUAAAUACUCCUGACUGACCGAUAGUGAACCAGUACCGUGAGGGAAAGGCGAAAAGAACCCCGGCGAGGGGAGUGAAAAAGAACCUGAAACCGUGUACGUACAAGCAGUGGGAGCCUCUUUUAUGGGGUGACUGCGUACCUUUUGUAUAAUGGGUCAGCGACUUAUAUUCUGUAGCAAGGUUAACCGAAUAGGGGAGCCGAAGGGAAACCGAGUCUUAACUGGGCGUUAAGUUGCAGGGUAUAGACCCGAAACCCGGUGAUCUAGCCAUGGGCAGGUUGAAGGUUGGGUAACACUAACUGGAGGACCGAACCGACUAAUGUUGAAAAAUUAGCGGAUGACUUGUGGCUGGGGGUGAAAGGCCAAUCAAACCGGGAGAUAGCUGGUUCUCCCCGAAAGCUAUUUAGGUAGCGCCUCGUGAAUUCAUCUCCGGGGGUAGAGCACUGUUUCGGCAAGGGGGUCAUCCCGACUUACCAACCCGAUGCAAACUGCGAAUACCGGAGAAUGUUAUCACGGGAGACACACGGCGGGUGCUAACGUCCGUCGUGAAGAGGGAAACAACCCAGACCGCCAGCUAAGGUCCCAAAGUCAUGGUUAAGUGGGAAACGAUGUGGGAAGGCCCAGACAGCCAGGAUGUUGGCUUAGAAGCAGCCAUCAUUUAAAGAAAGCGUAAUAGCUCACUGGUCGAGUCGGCCUGCGCGGAAGAUGUAACGGGGCUAAACCAUGCACCGAAGCUGCGGCAGCGACACUAUGUGUUGUUGGGUAGGGGAGCGUUCUGUAAGCCUGUGAAGGUGGCCUGUGAGGGUUGCUGGAGGUAUCAGAAGUGCGAAUGCUGACAUAAGUAACGAUAAAGCGGGUGAAAAGCCCGCUCGCCGGAAGACCAAGGGUUCCUGUCCAACGUUAAUCGGGGCAGGGUGAGUCGACCCCUAAGGCGAGGCCGAAAGGCGUAGUCGAUGGGAAACAGGUUAAUAUUCCUGUACUUGGUGUUACUGCGAAGGGGGGACGGAGAAGGCUAUGUUGGCCGGGCGACGGUUGUCCCGGUUUAAGCGUGUAGGCUGGUUUUCCAGGCAAAUCCGGAAAACCAAGGCUGAGGCGUGAUGACGAGGCACUACGGUGCUGAAGUGACAAAUGCCCUGCUUCCAGGAAAAGCCUCUAAGCAUCAGGUAACAUCAAAUCGUACCCCAAACCGACACAGGUGGUCAGGUAGAGAAUACCAAGGCGCUUGAGAGAACUCGGGUGAAGGAACUAGGCAAAAUGGUGCCGUAACUUCGGGAGAAGGCACGCUGAUAUGUAGGUGAAGCGACUUGCUCGUGGAGCUGAAAUCAGUCGAAGAUACCAGCUGGCUGCAACUGUUUAUUAAAAACACAGCACUGUGCAAACACGAAAGUGGACGUAUACGGUGUGACGCCUGCCCGGUGCCGGAAGGUUAAUUGAUGGGGUUAGCGGUAACGCGAAGCUCUUGAUCGAAGCCCCGGUAAACGGCGGCCGUAACUAUAACGGUCCUAAGGUAGCGAAAUUCCUUGUCGGGUAAGUUCCGACCUGCACGAAUGGCGUAAUGAUGGCCAGGCUGUCUCCACCCGAGACUCAGUGAAAUUGAACUCGCUGUGAAGAUGCAGUGUACCCGCGGCAAGACGGAAAGACCCCGUGAACCUUUACUAUAGCUUGACACUGAACAUUGAGCCUUGAUGUGUAGGAUAGGUGGGAGGCUUUGAAGUGUGGACGCCAGUCUGCAUGGAGCCGACCUUGAAAUACCACCCUUUAAUGUUUGAUGUUCUAACGUUGGCCCGUAAUCCGGGUUGCGGACAGUGUCUGGUGGGUAGUUUGACUGGGGCGGUCUCCUCCUAAAGAGUAACGGAGGAGCACGAAGGUUGGCUAAUCCUGGUCGGACAUCAGGAGGUUAGUGCAAUGGCAUAAGCCAGCUUGACUGCGAGCGUGACGGCGCGAGCAGGUGCGAAAGCAGGUCAUAGUGAUCCGGUGGUUCUGAAUGGAAGGGCCAUCGCUCAACGGAUAAAAGGUACUCCGGGGAUAACAGGCUGAUACCGCCCAAGAGUUCAUAUCGACGGCGGUGUUUGGCACCUCGAUGUCGGCUCAUCACAUCCUGGGGCUGAAGUAGGUCCCAAGGGUAUGGCUGUUCGCCAUUUAAAGUGGUACGCGAGCUGGGUUUAGAACGUCGUGAGACAGUUCGGUCCCUAUCUGCCGUGGGCGCUGGAGAACUGAGGGGGGCUGCUCCUAGUACGAGAGGACCGGAGUGGACGCAUCACUGGUGUUCGGGUUGUCAUGCCAAUGGCACUGCCCGGUAGCUAAAUGCGGAAGAGAUAAGUGCUGAAAGCAUCUAAGCACGAAACUUGCCCCGAGAUGAGUUCUCCCUGACUCCUUGAGAGUCCUGAAGGAACGUUGAAGACGACGACGUUGAUAGGCCGGGUGUGUAAGCGCAGCGAUGCGUUGAGCUAACCGGUACUAAUGAACCGUGAGGCUUAACCUU